rnacentral:rRNA from 1 species
AUGGCUGGCGUCUCCACCAAUGCCAUUGCCCUUGUGCUUGUGACACUCCUCUCCGUGCUUGUCACGUCCGUCCGUUCUGCGGCCAACUACGACACCGCCGCCGCUAGAUCCUACAACUCCGGCUGGCUCCCCGCCAAGGCCACCUGGUACGGUGCGCCCACCGGCGCCGGCCCCAUGGACAACGGCGGUGCUUGCGGCUUCAAGAACGUGAACAAGUACCCCUUCUCCUCCAUGACGUCCUGCGGCAACGAGCCUCUGUUCGACGGCGGCGCAGGCUGCGGCAGUUGCUACGAGAUUCGAUGCAUCGCCGCCAACAACCCUUCCUGCUCCGGCCAGCCGACGACGGUCGUCAUCACCGACAUGAACUACUACCCCGUGGCCAGGUACCACUUCGACCUCAGCAGCACUGCGUUCGGGGCCAUGGCCAAAUACGGCCUCAACGACAAGCUCCGCCACGCCGGCAUCAUCGACAUGCAGUUCAGGAGGGUGCGCUGCAACUUCCCGGGCAUGAAGGUCACCUUCCACGUCCAGCGUGGAUCCAAUCCCAACUACCUCGCAGUCCUCGUGGAGUACGCCAACGUCGACGGCACCGUGGUCCGCAUGGAGCUCAUGCAAACCAGGAACGGGCGCCCAACGGGGUCCUGGGAGCCAAUGCGCCGCUCCUGGGGAUCCAUCUGGCGGAUGGACACCAGCCGCCCGCUGCAGGGGCCCUUCUCCAUGCGUAUCACCAGCGACUCCCGGAAGACGCUUGUGGCCAACAAUGUCAUCCCGGCGUACUGGCGACCGGACAAAGCUUACUGGUCCAACGUCCAGUUCUAUUGA